UACAGAGGUCCCAAGCGUUGUUCGGAUUCACUGGGCGUAAAGGGUGCGUAGGUGGCCAGGUAAGUUUGGUGUGAAAGCUCGGAGCUUAACUCCGAAAAGUCAUUGAAUACUAUCUGGCUGGAGGGUCGGAGGGGAGACUGGAAUUCUCGGUGUAGCAGUGAAAUGCGUAGAUAUCGAGAGGAACACCAGUGGCGAAGGCGAGUCUCUGGACGACUCCUGACACUGAGGCACGAAAGCUGGGGGAGCAAACCGG
rnacentral:rRNA from 1 species